GUAAUCCCCUAGGUCCGAAACCA
rnacentral:siRNA from 1 species